rnacentral:rRNA from 1 species
GAUCCUGGCUCAGGAUGAACGCUGGCGGCGUGCUUAACACAUGCAAGUCGAACGAAGCACUUUAUUAUGAUUUCUUCGGAAUGACGAUUUAGUGACUGAGUGGCGGACGGGUGAGUAACGCGUGGGUAACCUGCCUUAUACAGGGGGAUAACAGUUAGAAAUGACUGCUAAUACCGCAUAAGCGCACAGGAUUGCAUGAUCUGGUGUGAAAAACUCCGGUGGUAUAAGAUGGACCCGCG